AUUGAACGCUGGCGGCAGGCUUAACACAUGCAAGUCGAGCGGAGCGAGGGUGCUUGCACCUUAGCUUAGCGGCGGACGGGUGAGUAAUGCUUAGGAAUCUGCCUAUUAGUGGGGGACAACAUUCCGAAAGGAAUGCUAAUACCGCAUACGCCCUACGGGGAAAGCAGGGGAUCUUCGGACCUUGCGCUAAUAGAUGAGCCUAAGUCAGAUUAGCUAGUUGGUGGGGUAAAGGCCUACCAAGGCGACGAUCUGUAGCGGGUCUGAGAGGAUGAUCCGCCACACUGGGACUGAGACACGGCCCAGACUCCUACGGGAGGCAGCAGUGGGGAAUAUUGGACAAAUGGGGCGCAAGCCUGAUCCAGCCAUGCCGCGUGUGUGAAGAAGGCCUUUGGUUGUAAAGCACUUUAAGCGAGGAGGAGGCUACUUGGAUUAAUACUCUAGGAUAGUGGACGUUACUCGCAGAAUAAGAC
rnacentral:rRNA from 1 species